CUGCUGUGCCCUCCAUAACUCCAUUUCCUUUGAUUCUGUUUCUCCUUGAGGACGGAUUCAGGCCUUCCUGCAGAGCAGAUCUCUUGGUUUCUCAUCCUCUGUCUCUUCAUCCUUCUUUGAAAAGAGGACAAGGUGAGCAAGGAUUACAAGGCAACAUAAAGAAGGAAAGCCCAGGAAAACCUGCCGGAUUCCUUGACCCCCUGAUCCCAUUCCCACAUGGAAGCAAAAGCCAAAGGAGCGUCGAAGUCUGCCUCCAAAGCAGAGAAGAAGGAGGCAGCCCCACCGCCAAAACCAGACCCCGUCUCUGCUGAACCUGCAGAGCCCGAGAAGCCGGCGGAAGAUGGAGCGACCAACCAACAGGGGGCAGCGGAGUCCGCAGGAAGUAGCUGUGAAACCUUAGAAAAUUUGAAGCCUUUCCUGAUUGGAGGAGCUGUCAUCGCCCUUGGAGCUGUAUUGGUGGGCGUAAUCUUAUUAGCCAAGAAAAACUGACCCAAGGCCUAAGAUUAAUUGUUAAACAGUGGGGUUGAUUACUUCACAGACUAUUAAAGUUUAUAUAAAGGGGUGGGGAGUCACUAGCGGGGUGAACAUAUGUCCUAUUUGUCCUGAACAUGUGCUGGCCAGGAUUUCCAAAUUGCCAAAAAUGUCCGGGUUUUGGCUUUGAUUUUCAUAAUGACUGAAAAGUAGCAUGCAGGCAUUGUACAUAAUCGACCAAUUGUCGCACACGCGAAGGUGGGAUCUACAGAGAACGGCCAAAGCAUUGCAAAUUCACAUAGAUACAAUGUAUGAAGACUAUAGAGACCGCUUCAACAGGAAAACAAAGUCAAAACCCGGGCAUUUUAAGUAAUGUAGAAAUCCUGACCAUGACAUGUCCGGGAAAACGAGUACGUAUGGUCACUCUACACACUAGGCGUCUUAAUUUUAUGCUGUACUUUAAUUUCAGUGCUUGUGGUGACGUUCCUGCCAGCUAUUAAAGCAAGCUAGAGAUGCAUUUAGGCCAAACACUUUUCAUAUAACAUUCAACUUAGUUGUAGCCAAUGCACAUUUCCACCAAAACUUUCAUCCUAGUCACUCUGCCUGCUGGUUGAUGCUCAAAAACACCCUCAUUCAUGCGACAAUGUUGAGAUUAAACCAAUUAUCCAAAAAUAUUUCCGUUUUUCAAGCUGGACUUAAAUCCAUAACUGCCAGCUACAAUAACGUUAAGAUGCAUGAUUCAAGGUUAAAAAUACAGAAUUUUUCUGUCAUUUAUUGAAAUUAAAUGCCAUUUAUAUCUUGAUACCAAUAAAAGCAAUUGGUUUCAUACUUAAAUGCUUGUGCAAAUCCAUAUGUACAUAUCAAGCCACUGACAUCUAUUACAGUUAGGCCUGUAUUGUUGAGAGAAGGUGUAGAAAUGUAAAGAAAGAAUCUCAGCUAUUUCAAAUAUUAUAUGGGUUCAUUUUGUAUUUGACAUCAGCCAUCGAACAAACACAAGUCAUUCAAUAAUCUUGCCUGUGAAUUGCAUACUGUAGACCAUCUGUGCCAUUUCAAAAUCUUAGUUUCUUGUUUGAACGACGUUGACGAUUUUCUGAAGUGGGCCAAUGGAAAUAGAUGCAACGUAGAUUAUGACGGCUCUCGGCCAACAGCUUCAAUUUCGCAGUUACACUAUGAUGAGCGCUACACACAACAGAAACAAUCCCUAAAUGCAUGCAGACACGAACAAUAUAGACUCACACGUCACAUGACAUACUGUUACAGAAAAUGACAUUUUCUUUAAAGUGCGUAUAUAAUGCAAUAAUUCAAAUAGAACUCUGUAUUUAAAAGAAAGAAGACUGUGUAUUGGUUGUGAUACUGAGGGUAACGAUGUGGAUGAUGAUGCGGCAACAUGGUGGUUGUCUUGGUGAUGAUGAUGAUGAUGAUGAUGAUGAGUGAUUAUGAUUUUAUUUGUUUGUUCUAAUGAAGUUUACCUGUUCCUCUAAUGUGGCCCCUUUCCUCCUGCCAUAUGUAUUUAUUUUGCACACAACCUCGCCUGCUGUCUUUCUGCUGUUCCUCGUGUGAAUUAAAACAAGAUGGCUCCCUUGUGACUUGAUGACCUUAUUAAAGGACAAUGAACCAUA